rnacentral:tRNA from 1 species
GCCCUGGUUGCACAAUUGGUUAGUGCGUUGGACUUUUAGUCACAAGACUAUGCGUUGAACACCAGCGUCCAGUUGAGAGCCCGGUAUCUCGGGCUGUCAAACGGUGAUCCAAAGGUUGCGGGUUCGAGUCCCGCCUGGGGCG